AGGCGGUCUGUCAAGUCGGAUGUGAAAUCCCCGGGCUCAACCUGGGAACUGCAUUCGAAACUGGCAGGCUUGAGUCUUGUAGAGGGGGGUAGAAUUCCAGGUGUAGCGGUGAAAUGCGUAGAGAUCUGGAGGAAUACCGGUGGCGAAGGCGGCCCCCUGGACAAAGACUGACGCUCAGGUGCGAAAGCGUGGGGAGCAAACAGGAUUAGAUACCCUGGUAGUCCACGCCGUAAACGAUGUCUACUUGGAGGUUGUGCCCUUGAGGCGUGGCUUCCGGAGCUAACGCGUUAAGUAGACCGCCUGGGGAGUACGGCCGCAAGGUUAAAACUCAAAUGAAUUGACGGGGGCCCGCACAAGCGGUGGAGCAUGUGGUUUAAUUCGAUGCAACGCGAAGAACCUUAC
rnacentral:rRNA from 2 species